CUUUCUAUGCUCCUUUCUAUGUGUUCUUCUGUCUCUGGUUUUACUGCUCCUAUAACUUCACAGAUGGCUGUCUCCUGUCUGACUACCUUCUCCCUGUGCCCCAACAGGAGAGCAGGACUCUGACUCAGCUUGGAAGGAGCUGUAGGUGAGUGACUUUUCUUAACUAACAGUCAGCAGAGCCCAGGGGACAGGGAAACGCAGAGGCUUAAGUCCCUGGUGGCACUGGUGGCCGUCCCAGGGGAACCCACCAGAGGGCUCCUCCUCGCUGCUCCCUGCAGCCACUGCUCACUGGUGAUCUAGCCCACAGUCUGUUUUCUCUUCCCCAAGGGUGAAGCCACACCUUCUUUCAGCCUGACUUGGACGGGUGAGCUGAAGGGACAUCUCCGAGACCCUGCUGCUGCCAUCAUGAGCUCGAUAGACCUCUUUUACUGCUCAGAGAGUGAAACUGUUUUUCAAGUUGUUGUUGAACGUUCCCAGGUCACAGAAAAGAAACUGACGGUCUUACUCCGAAACUGGAAGAUGUUUGUGGUUAAGGCCGAUAUACCCAGGUAACAUGCAUGGGUUUACCAAGAAUGUGACUCAGAUCCCUCUGCCCCAGGCUAGGUUCCUCCUGGCAGGUACACCUCCUCCAGGCAGCAUCCUGUAGUUGGAGUCAAGGAUGUUCCUUCUCAAGAUCCCAAUAGCAGUGUUUCCUUUAUGGCAUUUGGUGGCAGUGAAUGGCCUUGUGUGGUGAAGAUAUGAAACCUGCUACAGGGGCAGGUUAUGUGACCUUGGUCAUGUGACUGAACUACUCUCUGCCUUAGUUUCUUCAUCUGUUCAGUUUUAUUGUGCAGACACUGAGAUCAUGCAUGCAAA
rnacentral:lncRNA from 1 species